rnacentral:rRNA from 1 species
AGAGUUUGAUCCUGGCUCAGAUUGAACGCUGGCGGAAUGCUUUACACAUGCAAGUCGAACGGCAGCACGGACUUCGGUCUGGUGGCGAGUGGCGAACGGGUGAGUAAUACAUCGGAACGUGCCCAGUCGUGGGGGAUAACGUAGCGAAAGCUACGCUAAUACCGCAUACGAUCUAAGGAUGAAAGCGGGGGAUCGCAAGACCUCGCGCGAUUGGAGCGGCCGAUGGCAGAUUAGGUAGUUGGUGGGGUAAAGGCUCACCAAGCCGACGAUCUGUAGCUGGUCUGAGAGGACGACCAGCCACACUGGAACUGAGACACGGUCCAGACUCCUACGGGAGGCAGCAGUGGGGAAUUUUGGACAAUGGGCGCAAGCCUGAUCCAGCCAUUCCGCGUGCAGGAUGAAGGCCCUCGGGUUGUAAACUGCUUUUGUACGGAACGAAAAGGCUCUGGUUAAUACCUGGGGCUCAUGACGGUACCGUAAGAAUAAGCACCGGCUAACUACGUGCCAGCAGCCGCGGUAAUACGUAGGGUGCAAGCGUUAAUCGGAAUUACUGGGCGUAAAGCGUGCGCAGGCGGUGAUGUAAGACAGAGGUGAAAUCCCCGGGCUCAACCUGGGAACUGCCUUUGUGACUGCAUCGCUGGAGUACGGCAGAGGGGGAUGGAAUUCCGCGUGUAGCAGUGAAAUGCGUAGAUAUGCGGAGGAACACCGAUGGCGAAGGCAAUCCCCUGGGCCUGUACUGACGCUCAUGCACGAAAGCGUGGGGAGCAAACAGGAUUAGAUACCCUGGUAGUCCACGCCCU